GAUGAACGCUAGCGGCAGGCUUAAUACAUGCAAGUCGAGGGGCAGCAUGAAUGUAGCAAUACAUUUGAUGGCGACCGGCAAACGGGUGCGGAACACGUACACAACCUUCCUAUAAGUGGGGAAUAGCCCAGAGAAAUUUGGAUUAAUACCCCGUAACAUAAUGAUGUGGCAUCACAUUAUUAUUAUAGCUACGGCGCUUAUUGAUGGGUGUGCGGCUGAUUAGAUAGUUGGCGGGGGUAACGGCCCACCAAGUCUACGAUCAGUAGCUGAUGUGAGAGCAUGAUCAGCCACACGGGCACUGAGACACGGGCCCGACUCCUACGGGAGGCAGCAGUAAGGAAUAUUGGUCAAUGGACGCAAGUCUGAACCAGCCAUGCCGCGUGAAGGAUUAAGGUCCUCUGGAUUGUAAACUUCUUUAUCUGGGACGAAAAAGGCGAUUCUUCGUCACUUGACGGUACCAGAUGAAUAAGCACCGG
rnacentral:rRNA from 1 species